GUCGAACGCGUCUUGGUCAAUGAUUUUAGGUGCUUGCACUUGACUGAUUUGACAUUGAGACGAGUGGCGAACUGGUGAGUAACACGUGGGUAACCUGCCCUUGAAGUAGAGGAUAACACUUGGAAACAGGUGCUAAUACUGCAUAACAACGAAAACCGCCUGGUUUUCGUUUGAAAGAUGGCUUCGGCUAUCGCUUUAGGAUGGACCCGCGGCGUAUUAGCUAGUUGGUGAGGUAACGGCUCACCAAGGCAAUGAUACGUAGCCGACCUGAGAGGGUAAUCGGCCACAUUGGGACUGAGACACGGCCCAAACUCCUACGGGAGGCAGCAGUAGGGAAUCUUCCACAAUGGACGAAAGUCUGAUGGAGCAACGCCGCGUGAGUGAUGAAGGGUUUCGGCUCGUAAAACUCUGUUGUUGGAGAAGAACGGGUGUCAGAGUAACUGUUGACAUCGUGACGGUAUCCAACCAGAAAGCCACGGCUAA
rnacentral:rRNA from 2 species